GAUAUUACACCAAACAAUUUCGAUGGCAUUUUUUACCGCAAUUAUGAUAGAUGUGUUACUAUGUUCAUAAAGUUCUGCUAAGAGCGAGUUAGUAGUAUAAACUAUAUUCUAUUUAAGCUAUGUUCUUUUGGAUUGAAUUCAACUAAAUUGAAUUGUACUUAUUUGUCAGAAUUGAAUUGAACUAUUGUGAAAAAAAACUAAUUGAAUUGGAAUUUACUGAACUGAACUACAUUUACUUGAACUAAACUAAAUUUUAAUUAGUUCAUUCCAAAAGAACAGACCUCACUUACCCCAAGAGAAGAGAGGAGAGAAGAAAAAAAGACCCAGAACCAGAAUGAAGUAUUUCCUAUCAAAUACAGUACUUCUUUGCAUAUAUUAAAAUCUUUUUACCCAUUGUAUAAAAAUUUGAAAAGUCAUUUUGAAAAGUCAUAAAAAUGAAAGCUUGGGGUCCCAGUUCCAUGAGAGCUUUUGGCAAAGAAUUAGUCUUACCGACAAACUUAGGUGGAUGACGAUUAGGAUUCCAACUCCAAUCCACCAACUCCCAACUCACAACUCACAGCCAGUCAGCCACACCUCACAACUCACAACUCACAAUUCAUAAUUCACAAUUCACAAAGAGAAAAAAGAAUGGCAGAAGGAGUUUUGUCCAACUUAGUUGCAAAAGCUCUGGAACUCUUGGCAACAGCAGCCUUUAAAGAGACUUCAUCCUGGUGGGGCGCACGAGAUGAUCUAAAGAAGCUUGGGAAGAGCAUGGAGAUGAUCCAAGCUCGAGUUCGUGAUGCCGAAAAGUAUCAAGAAGAGGAAGGUAGCGAUGCUGUCAAACUGUGGCUUCGGAGUCUGAAGCUGGUACUUUACCAAGCUGAUGACUUGUUUGAUCACAUCCUCACUGUUGAUAGACAGAAACAGCGCAGAAAACAAAAUCACGAGGUACACUUUUCCUUAAGGUCUAGCUCUCCUGUUUUAAACUGGAAAAUAGCUCGAGAUAUUAAGUCUAUCAGAGAACAACUUGAUGCCAUCAACUCUGAUAUGGCUGGCUUAAACUUGAGGGUCUAUGACCAUAGGAAAGAACCACAACCUCUGAUAUCCCGUUUCAGGAAGAACAGAGAAACAACCUCUUUUGUGGAAGCUGAAGAUGUCAUUGGUAGAGAAACAGAUAAAGAUGUGAUCAUUCAGAUGCUUCUUGAUCCCAAAUAUGACGGGGAAAAGGUUACUAUUAUCCCAAUCAUGGGGUUUGGGGGUCUAGGGAAAACUACUCUAGCUCAAUUUGUUUUCAAUGAUCAGAGGGUGCAAAAUCAUUUUGAUCUUACUAAAUGGGCUUAUGUACCUGAAAAAAAUGAUCUCACUGCAGUAAUGGGAAAAAUAUUCAACUCCUUCACUGAUAAGGAGUAUCAUCGUGAUCUCUCACUAGAAAAGCUUCAGCUCAGCAUUAGAGAGUCAAUAGAAAGCAAGAACUAUCUUCUUGUGCUAGAUGACAUCUGGGAUGAGACUAUUCAUAGAUUACAUGAUCUUGUGAACUUGCUGAAAUGUGGUAAACCAGGAAGUAAAGUAAUUGUAACUACACGCUCUGAUGUUGUUGCAAGAGGUCUUGCCACCAUUGAAGAACCCUACAGAUUGGGAACUCUAACUGAUGAUCAGUCGUGGAAUCUUUUCGAAAGAUUAACACUUAAACCACGACAAGAAGGGAGCAGUCUCGGUUCUUUGAGUGAGAUCGGGAAAGAUAUUGUGAAAAUGUGUGGAAACGUGCCACUUGCUAUCAAAGUUGCUGGAGGUUUCCUCUGUUCCAGAGACACUCCGGAAGAGUGGUUGUAUGUCAGAGAUGCUCAACGCGCAAAGGCACAACACACAAUAGGUAGUGACAUCAUGCCUAUUCUGAAGUUAAGUUAUGAUGACCUACCACCAGCAUUGAAACAGUGCUUUGCCUACUGUUCGUUGUUCGAGAAAGGCUAUAAUUUUAGCCAAACAGAAUUGGUUCAUCUAUGGAUGGCUCAAGGAUAUUUUGAAGCAUCAAGCAGAGAUAUCGGAGACCGCUACUUUCUGGAAUUGCUACGGAGGAAUCUAUUUCAAAAUCCUGAAAAAGAUCUUGAAGCGAACAUUACAAGCUGCAAAAUGCACGACUUAGUGCAUGACUUGGCACAACAUGUAGCUGGUCACGAGAGCAUGGUGUUGGGUGAGUCGUAUUCAUCACAAGUCACAGAUGCACUCGUACAUGUAAAUCUUGGUAGAUUUGAAGCUCCACCAUUGUCAGCUGAGGCUGCUGGAAUGUUACGCUCAUUGCUAUUACAUACAAAAAUUGAUAAAAUUGACAGAUGGAUAUUCAGAUUCAAGUCCUUACGAGUCUUGAGCUUGGAAUAUUAUUGGAUUAACAGGCUCCCAGAUUCUAUAGGGAGGUUGGUACAUCUGAGAUACCUUAAUCUUCGUAACUCUAACAUUGAAUGUCUUCCCCAAGCAAUAACAAGGUUAGAGAACCUGCAAACACUUAACCUUUAUUGUUCAGAACUGAAGGAAUUGCCAAGAGAUUUUACUAAAUUGCCCAACCUGAGGCACUUGGCAAUUGCUGGGAGCAGUUUGACUACGAUGCCACCAGAAUUUGGUACAAUGACAAAUCUACAAGAGUUAGAUCUAUUUGUAGUUGGGGAAAACUCUGGUAUAGACUCGGUGCCAGCCUUGAAUCUUAUGGGGAACCUCCAUAUAAAAUUCUGCUUGCAGCGCAAUGAUGCUGUUUUGGAAGCGCAAAGGGCAAAUUUGAAGGGCAGUCAGCGAUUAAGUAAUCUCAAUUUAGAUUAUCGGGAGUUAGAGAGAGAAGAAGCUACUCCCUCUUCUAGUGGAAUGAAUGAAAUGUUAAUGUACUUGCAGCUACCUCCAAAUCUUAUAUAUCUUCGAGUUGGUAACUACAGUGGAGAUAAGAUGCAAUGCAGGUGGCUAGAUGUGAUGUCUAAGCUAGUUUCCAUUAUAAUUUCAGAGUGUAAUAAUUGCAAAGCUCUCCCUCAUUUGAGUCAGUUGCCUCAUCUCAAAAAUCUUUAUCUUAAAAGGCUUGAUGCCUUGGAGUAUGUAGAAGAUGAGGACGACAUAUUGGUUGGUGAAGAUUGUGGUUAUGCAGCCCAUUAUUUUCCAGCCUUAGAGAACUUAGAGUUGAUUAAAUUACCACAGCUAAAAGAGUGGACAAGACUGUCGAAAAGUGGUGGUAAGCGACAGCAGAAGCGACAACGCUUGUUGUUUCCUCGGCUUUUGCAACUGAACGUAAGGGAUUGCAAUAACUGCACACUUCUCCCUCACAUGAGUCAGCUGCCUCUUCUUAAAAAAGUUUAUCUUGAAAGGCUUGAUGCCUUGGAGUAUGUAGAAGAUGAGGAUGACAUCUGGGGUGAUGGAGAUUGUGGUUACACAUCCCAUUAUUUCCCAGCCUUGGUGCACUUAGAGUUGAUUAAAUUACCACAACUCAAAAAGUGGACAAGACCGUCAAAAAGUGGUGGUGAGCAGCGACAACAGCGACAAUUAUUGUUUCCUCAACUUUUGCAAAUGAAAGUAAAGGAUUGCAAAGAGUUGGUGUUGAUGCUUCUAGCACCAAAGCUGGAGUCAUUGGACGUUACUCUGGGCAAUGGAAAGCUAUUUGAAUCCAAUCUGGCGUCACCAAAUAAAGAAGCAUCAUCAUCUCUUUUCACGUCAUUAAAGCACCUGCGUAUUGAUGGAACUAAGAAUUCUUUGUCAAUUAGUAGUAGAUUGUGUAAACUAGAAUCAGUAGAAAUAAGAUAUUGCGAGGAGUUGAGGAGUUUGAUGAUUGAAUCUUCAAGUUCCAUACGGGAUCUUAAACUAAUUGAGGUUAAUAGUGGCUUUUGUAAUAUACUAAAAGGAGAUUUUCCUUUCAUUGAGACAUUGAAGAUCUGGGGAAGUAGUGAAGAAUUAGAAGAGGGGAACACUACUACGUAUUGGCAAGGCUUGAGAAGCCUCCGUAGCUUGGAAUUAUGUUACAUGAAGAAGCUCCCUCCUCGCAUUGCUUGCCUAACCAACCUUCAGACCCUUUAUGUUUGUAAUGUGGAAAACUUGAUAGCUCUCCCAGAUGAGAUCGGUAACCUCUUUCUGCUUCAGAAACUUACAAUUGCACGUAUGGAGAAGUUAAUAGCACUCCCCAAAGAAAUCGGCAACCUCUCUAAGCUUUCUUACCUUGAGAUUCAUGAUUGUCGAGAAUUGCGGGUACUUCCACUAUCAUUACAAGGCCUCACCUCUUUACAGACACUUAUUAUUGUUGAGUGUCCAUAUCUGAAAGUAAGAUAUAGCGUCAGAUUCAAUGGCCGAGAUUGUCACCUCCUUCAACAUAUUACCGAUCUUAAAAUUUGGUAAGGAGAAUUCCCUUGCAAGGAAGGGGAAAAAUUGGGGUAUCAUUUUUGCAAGGGGUGAGAAUCGAACUCGUGUCAGAGGGAUGGAAGAAAGACCUUACGACCAAUAGGCCAACCUUGAUUCUCACCUUCAUUUUGUACUUGCUCAUAGCUUUUAGCUAUUGAAUAUAUCGACCUUGACUACCUGAGUGAAGGGAGCACAUUAGCACACUGUAAGCAGACCUACAAGGAUACAACACACUGUAAUCAGACCUACAAGGCUACAACUGCAAGGAAGAAGGAGGUCCCUUCGAAAUAAGCAUGAGAGACAACUUCAAUAGUGAGCUAUAACAUCUUCUGCAAAAUGCACGACUUAGUGCAUGACUUGGCAUAACAUGUAGCUGGUCACGAGAGCAUGGUGUUGGUUGAGUCGUCUUCUUCCCAGAUCACUGAUGGAAUUCUACAUGUAAAUCUUGGUAGAUUUGAAGCUUCAGCUCCACUAUUGGUAUUUAAGGCUAGAAUGUUGCGCUCAUUAUUAUCUGCUACAAGAAGUGUUGAAUGCGACAGAUUGAUAUAAAGAUUCCAGUCCUUACGAGUCUUGAGCUUGAAAAAUUCUUCGAUUAACAAGCUCCCAGAUGAGUGUCGCUCACCUCUUUACAGACACUUGUUAUUGAUGGGUGUCCACAUUUGGAGGAAAGAUAUAGCGUCGAAUUCAAUGGCCGAGAUGGUCACCUCCUUCAACAUAUUCCCGAUCUUCAGAUUGCGAGGAAUUGAGGAAUUGAGAGUUACGUACCUUGUUAUUACUCUUCAGACAAAUCUGGUAAAAGCUCCUCGUUACGCAUCUCCUGGUCCAGUAGCACGAAGAGGCCAGCCGCAACGGCAGCAAACAUGCAACAGUCAGCAGCACACAGCAGCAAAGGCAGCACGCAGCACACAGCACACAGCACACAGCACACAGCAGUCAACUGGCAUAUUAUUGCAUGUAAAAGAAAUUGAGAGGUGUGAAUCAGAUGGUGAUAUAUAUCAUAUAGCAUGUAAAAGGCACAAACAUCCCAAAAUAAUUGCAGUGAACAUAUUACCUUAUGUAAUUCAUUUCCUAAUUGAACACUCUACGCUCAUCGCUUAGCUAAUAACCAAGCAUUUAAAUUUUGUGGUCAAGUUGGCAAUA